AACGGCCAUACCAUGCUGAAUAUACCGGUUCUCGUUAGAUCACCGAAGUCAAGCAUCAGUGGGCGUGGUCAGUACUUGGGUGGGUGACCACCACCUGGGAACACCGCUUGCCGU
rnacentral:rRNA from 1 species